rnacentral:rRNA from 1 species
AUUGAACGCUGGCGGCAUGCCUUACACAUGCAAGUCGAACGGCAGCACGGGUGCUUGCACCUGGUGGCGAGUGGCGAACGGGUGAGUAAUACAUCGGAACGUACCCAGUCGUGGGGGAUAACGUAGCGAAAGUUACGCUAAUACCGCAUACGUCCUGAGGGAGAAAGCGGGGGACCGUAAGGCCUCGCGCGAUUGGAGCGGCCGAUGUCUGAUUAGCUAGUUGGUGAGGUAAAGGCUCACCAAGGCGACGAUCAGUAGCUGGUCGGAGAGGAUGAUCAGCCACACUGGAACUGAGACACGGUCCAGACUCCUACGGGAGGCAGCAGUGGGGAAUUUUGGACAAUGGGCGAAAGCCUGAUCCAGCCAUUCCGCGUGAGUGAAGAAGGCCUUCGGGUUGUAAAGCUCUUUCGGCAGGAACGAAACGCUCUAGAUUAAUACUCUGGGGUAAUGACGGUACCUGAAGAAGAAGCACCGGCUAACUACGUGCCAGCCGCCGCCGUAA